rnacentral:lncRNA from 1 species
GUACCCAAGGACAGUAAAGUAAGCAUUUCUGAGGAUUUAAUGCUCAAAAUCACCUGGGAUAAUUGGCUUAAGGGGUUAAAGCAUGCUUUUUCCUCCCUCCUGGUCCUAAUGCCACUUCUCCUCUGAGGGCACAUCUGUCAAUAACUGAUGGAGCUUUCUUGGGUAAAUGAGCUGUUGCUUGCUACAUUGUAAAUCAUAUUCGGAAUCAAGUUUAUAUUCAAGCUGCUUUUAAAGCCAGGGUGCUGUGCUAACUGAACAGAAAAUGCUAAAUGUUUGAGGGAGCGGUGCAAGCCCUCCAGUGCCGAAGGCAUAAGCUGGACCUAAGGAAACAAACGGAAUGUACAUCCUUAGAGAAAACAAGAACACAUCUAUCUUAUUAGAAAUGCAUGGAGGUUUGGCAAGGGCCUUGAGUACCCACUGGGUACUGAGCAUGGUGACCUGUGACGCCUCAGUGGUGCCUGAGCUGAUCCUCAUCACUGACUUACCUGGCAGGUGUUGCCGUCACUCUUCUGCAGGUGACGAAACCGAGGCUCAGAAAGGUGGGUAACCUCCUCAGUGUGUGCACAAGCCAGUGGAAGACUUGAAGUUGGAAUCAGCUGGACUGUGAAGUGCUUGCUCUUAUCCCUCCACCCAAAGUCAGACAUGCUCUGUGACAGGGUCUUCACUUGGUGGCAUCCUGAUAUUUUCAAGGGUUUUGUGUUGAGAUGGAGGCCAGGGGCCCCUCUCGCCAAACCUAACAGCUUUCUCAGCUCUGCUCUAACCAUUGCAGCUUCACUUUUAUCUGUUUUUUUUUUUUUUUUGAAGUAUAGUUAAUGCAUAAUGUUUCAGAUGUACAGCAAAGUGAUUCAUUUACAUAUACACACACACAUAUAUACGUGUAUAUAUAUUCAGUUGUAUAUAUGUGUGUAUAUAAAUAUAUAUGUACUUUUCCAAUUUUUUUCCAUUGUAGGUUAUUACAAGAUAUUGAAUAUAGGUCUUUGUACUGCACAAUAGGUCCUUGUUGUUUAUCUAUUUUAUAUAUGCUAAUAUGUAUCUGUUAAACUCACAUUCCUAAUUUAUCCCACCUGUUCCUUUCUUCCUUGGUAACCACAGGUUUUUUUCUAUGUCUGUGAAUCUAUUUCUGUUUUGCAUCAUUUUUUUCCCAGAUUCCAUGUAUAAGUGAUAUAUGAUGUUUAUGUUUGACUUCACUUCAUGCCACUUCACAAACGGCAUGAUUUCAUUCUUCAUGGCUGAGUACUAUUCCAUUGUGGGUAUGUUUAUAUCUGUAUAUACAUCUACAUCUAUAUCUAUGUAUCUUCUUUAUCUGUUCAUCUGUUAGUGCACAUUUAGGUUGCUUCCAUGUCUUGGCUCAGGUGAAUAGUGCUGUUGUGAACAUUGGGGUGUAUGUAUCUUCUCAAAUUAGUGUUUUCAUCUUUUCCAGAUUUAUGCCCAGGAGUGGGAUUGCAGGAUCAUAUGGUAGUUCUAUUUUUAGGUUUUUAAGGAAUCUCCAUGCUGUUCUCGAUUGUGGCUUCACCAGUUUACAUUCCUACCAACCGUGUAGGUGGGUUCGCUUUUCUCCGUACCCUCUCACAUUCUCAUCUAUUUUUUUGCGAACCACAGCUGCAUGAGAAAAGUAAAAAUCUGUUUUAUAAAAUGAAGACAUUAGGGUAUGUAAGAGUGUGUCUGAUAUGUAAAAAAUUUGGAAAUAUUUUAUUCCUUUCUCAGCUUCAAAAGACACACCCAAAGGAGUUCCUGUUGUGGCUCAGUGGUAAUGAACCUGACUAGUAUCCAUGAGGAUGCAAGUUCGAUCCCUGGCCCUGAUCAAUGGGUUGAGGAUCCAGAGUUGUCAUGAUCUGUGGUGUAAGUUGCAGAUGUGGCUCAGAUCUGGUAUUGAAAUGGAGUUUUAACUAAAGGACAACCCCCCCCCCCUUGGCUAAGAAGGCAGCUGCAAGCCUUUCCAGCUAUGCUCGUCACUAUACCACCCUUCUUGUAAUAAUGUCACAACUGUGUGCCCUAUAUCCAAGCCAGCAGCCCUGCUAAUCAUGUACCCAACACUGCUUAUCAGUUCUGCUUCUGUAACCUUGCUUGCUCAGUUUCUUAGGGAAGAACACUGUCUGCUUGGGGAUGGGGGGGAGGUCCGGGAUGCUUACAUGGAAAAAUCAAGACCUUGUAGUGUAUAAAAGUUACUGAGAACAAAGAACUGGUGCUCAGACUCUGGAGGUGACUCCUCUGAGCCCACAGCGGUGCUGAAUAAACCUUGUUUUUCCAUAUCUCUGAGUGCUGUUUGUCUCCUCCCCUUGCCACGUUUUUUUUUGCGGUUUGCGCAGCAAUAUUGCUGUGGUGUAGGCCAGCAGCUGUAGCUCCCCUUAGACACCUAGCCUGGGAACUUCCAUAUGCUGCAGUUGUGGCCCUAAAAAGCAAAAAACACCUCACAAAAAACAAAAAAGAACAAAAAAAAAAAAAAACUAAGUCACACCCAUAGUACAGUCUAGACUGGCCCUCCUCUAAGUGUUGCUGCAGGGACCAAGCUGAACGCAGACUUAGACCCCUAGGUUUUCAGUUUUGAUUAGACCUGAACCUACUGUGUGCUAAUUUUUCCUUGCCUCUAUUUCCUUGGCCUGGAUGUGGUACUACUUGCUCUGCCAACCUCAGAAUCAUACUGUGAUGAUCAAAGGAGACCAAAGAUUUGCAGUUUGAAAAAGAAAGAAUCUUGCUAAAAUGUAUUCUUAUGACCACAUUUUCUAUUUUUUAGUAAUUGAUCUGAAAAAGAUUUCAAAGGCAAAAAUAUUAAGAGUUGAGGGUAUUUUAGUAUGGGAUAGAUGGGGACAUAAAAGGCAUAAAACCAUUUUUAAAAGCCCAUUCAGAACAAUUGUUUUAGAGAUAAUGGCUUAUUAAGUUCAUAAUAUCUGCCCUUGAAUUUUAGUUAUUAACAAUAUUGGCUGCUGCCAAUUUUUAAACUUUCUAGUGAGGAGGUACAAUAUGAAUCACUCUGCCUUUUUUUCUUUCUCCUAAUUGUCAGGGCAAGCAUACACUAGAUUUGAAAGAUGAAAUGGCUGAUUUGAGACCAGAAUUAUUAUCUGACUUAAGGUGAUUGAGAGAAAGAAUUGCCUCCUAAUUUCUCUUUGCUUGUCAUUCUUCCUUCUUUCCCCUCCCUUCCUCCUAGUUUUCUUCCCUCCUUUCCUGAAAAUAUUUAUUAGACACCAACUGUAUGCAAUAUGAAUAGAAUACAGUCUCUACUCCAAAGGUGUGCAUUCAGUCCAGCAUCUGAAUAAAUACAUGCUUCAGCAGUUGCCAUUGUGGCUCAAUGUCUUAAGCACCUGACUAGUAUCCAUGAGGACAUGGGUUCCAUCCUUGCCUUCACUCAUGGGCUAAGGAUCUGGUGUUGCCACAAGCUGCAGCAUAGGUUGCAGAUGCAGCCUGGAUCCCAAGUUGCUGUGGCUAUAUCGUAGGCUGGCAUCUAUAGCUCCAAUUCGACCCCUAUCCUGGGAACUUCCAUAUGUCACAGGUGAGGCCAUCAAAAGAAAACAAAUUAAAUACAUGCUUCGCUCAGGUCAGUACUAUGUGGGCCCGCCUUCCCGUCUUGUGGCAAACACUUUGGGAGCCCAGAGCACAGAUGGCCCUGUGUAACUGGUGGGAAGGGUGUUGGUCAAGGUUUCCUAGGAUUUUAUUUUAUUUUAUUAUUUUUUGUCAUUUUAGGGCUGCACCUGCUGCAGAUGGAAGUUCCCAGGCUAGGGGUCUCAUCGGAGCUGCAGCUGCUGACCUGUGCCACAGCCAUAGCAACUUGGAAUCUGAGCUGUGUCUUCGACCUACACAACAGCUCACAGCAAUGCUGGAUCCUUAACCCACUGAUUGAGGCCAGGGUUCGAACCCGAGUCUUCCUGGAUACUAGUUGGGUUCGUGACCUCCGUGCCACGAUGGGAACUCACUCCUGGGAAAUGUUCAGCUACUAACAAGAGUGGGUAUUUCAUCCCUGUAUUUCUUUACGUCUUUGUUUCUCAUUUCUCCAUUUCAACCCACUUGAAACCUAUUCAUUCUCUUAGGCCUUGCCAAUACCCAAGGACACUUCACAGCUGGGAUCCUGGGAACUUUAUGCCAUGCUCCCGUGGUUAGCCUCUUGUUUGACCUCAGAAAGGCCUGGGCUCAUUAGACACCUGCCUCCUUGAUUCUUCUUUCCUGUCUUCCUCCGGGCCCCUCUGCUCUCCCCCUUCUUCUCCUUUCAUGUCUUUCUUACUCCCUCCCUCCUUCUGCCUUCCCUCUGAGAAUUUAGGGGCAAGAAGGUUAGAUUGGUUAUAACAGCUGAUCUGGGGAGAAGGGAUGGAGAUAGUUGAGAAGAAAACAAAAUCAAGAACCAAUAGUUUAAUAUUUUAAUCUUUUGUUCACUCUUCACUAAAUCCUCUUCAGAUUUUCUGUAACAUUCUUGAAUUUGAUUUUCAAUUAUUUGAGCUCAGAGAAGAAGCAGAUUAUUUCUAAGUAGUACCCCUGGGGGCGAGCUCUCCUUCUUACAAAGAUUGCAAUUGGUAGUGCACGUCUGCGUUAUGCAGUUCAUGUCACUUGGUACAACCCAACCAGACCUGUUUUUGUAAGGAUUCUGUGUUUCGGAGGCAUUCUCUGUCUCUGCCAUUUUAGGACAGUGUCUCCAACAAGCACUUUUUUUUUUUGGCAGAGGUCAGAUCUAUAGCAGACUUCAGUCUAAGUGUUUGUUUGCUAUGAAUUAAAAUGAGAAUGAAAUCACAGAGAAAGAGUGAAAUGAAAAUUGCACGAGCUUACUCUGUCCAGCCAUGUACCCAAUCCUUGUCAUGUCCACUUUUCCUUGCAGGGCUUUUUUCUUUCUUGAAUCCAGGUCAUGGGCUCACGCUGUCAUUGCAGGUCUGGGUCAGGGGGAACAAGCCCUCAGGUCUCAGGGUGGUCUGUUGGCGUUCUAGAGAGGUACACAAAGCACCCAGCCUUUGGAGCCUGACUUCCCUGGUUCAAAUCCUGGUUCCAUCACUUACUGUUGAUGUUUGAAGAUUAAAUGAGAUCAUUAUAGCUCU